GCAGACCUUCCAUUGUACGAACUCCUCUUGGCCUCUGUAUAAGAUCUUCUUCUGUCAACAUUGCUGCAUCUUCUCUUUUCAUGGUUUUGAUCUGGUUUUGAGCAUUACCCAUGUGGUUAUUGAAGGUUUGCAAGCAGGUUGAGAUGAGUCCAGGAUGAGCUGCCCAUGUUCCAUCAUGCCCUGCUUUCACCUCUCGCAAUUUGUCCUUGCUCACUAGCUCUAAUGCCGCCUCGUUUGCUACUGGAUCGUCUCUGACUGGAAUCUGAGCUGCCUGUAAUUCAAUAACUGUUAAAUACUUUUUUUUUUCUUGUGUAUAAAUUACAAUGUAUAUACCUAUAUAUAUAUAUAUAUAUAUAUAUAUAUAUGAUAUACCAUUCCACCCAUGGCAUGAACACCGCGUCUAUGGCAGGUUCUGAUGACGAGAUCAGAGUAACUUUUCAUCAAGUGUUGGUUCAUUCCAACCAGGACUCUGUCUGGCAAAAUGCGAUCUGGGUGAGCCUGAAAAGUUUUCACAUAGCUGAAAAUAUAAUCCCAUCUUCCACAGUUUAAACCCACCGAGUGAUCUCUUAGCUCGUAAAGAAUUUCAUCCAUUUGGAAAACUGCAGGUAAUGUUUCGAUUAGAACAGUGGCUCUGAUGCUUCCUCUUUCUAUUCCUGCCAUCUUUUCUGCUCUCUCAAACACACAAUUCCAGAUCUUCGCUUCCCUGCCAAAUCAACUAAUUCAUUAUAUUGAAUUACAACACCAUGAAAAUUAGCUCCUAAUUGUUAUUACCUUGAAUGCUCCAUUUUAGGAAGAUAGAAGAAGGGUCCAUAGCCAGCACCUUGUGUCUGCCGGAAUUUUGCAUAGUUGUGGUAAAAGUAAAGGCCAAAAUCUACAAGACAACCAGUUGC
rnacentral:lncRNA from 1 species